rnacentral:tRNA from 1 species
GGAGAAGCUGUGUUUCAGUGGUAGAGCAUUUGCUUGGCGUGCAGAAGGUUCCAGCUGUAAUCCCUGGCAUCUCCA